GAACUUUUUUUUAUUAUUAGCAUACAUGACAACUUUCCUGAUUUGUGUGGGAUUUUCCCGAUUUGAAGCAGUUGAAAAGGCAAAUCCCGAUAUCCCGAUCGGGAUUGCAAAAAUACCCCGAAAUCCCGAUUUUCUAAAAAUAUCUCCCAUUUUACGACAACAAACCCCCAUUUCCAACCGGAAUUUGAAAUCCCGCGUCAUUUCUGAACUGGCCAAUCAGAAAUCGGGACAAUAGUCAGCCAUUGCUGUUUACCUGUGUCGCAUGGUAUCGGAGUGAUGUAAUUUAUUUGGUCUGCCCGUGUCGGGGUGCUUAUUGGACAGUGCGAAGCAUGUUUUGAUAGUAAUUAAUCGAGAAGACGGAUUUCAAAUUGACAUAUCCUUUACACAAACGUGAAUGGCAAUGAUAAUAGUGUCACCACCAAACAAUCGGACAUUCCCGAUUUUUGCCUCUCGCUGACAGCAUCCAAAAUAUGCAAUAUUAAAGAUUUCAUGGGUGCAAAGGUUUUGUUCGCAAACUUCAUAGCAGGGCAGAUCACUCCUUUUCUGGUUGCAAUGCAGAUUGUUCCACCAGACUCUGCAAGCCCAUGAAAUUGUUUACAGACAAGCAAGAUCGCCUUUGUAGUCGCACCUAAAUGCAUGUGCUUUAAUUUAAAUUUUGAUAUAUAGACCAGCCAAUGUAUAUAUGGUGUAAAAGGAUGCAACUUUAAGUAUUAUUUGAUAAUAUGUAUGUGAUUUGUUGGAGAGGAUUUUUUGCUGAAUAGAUGAUUUUAAUAAAAUACUUAUCUAUAUCUUUCAAAGUUUUUUUUUUUAUAUAGUUUUGUUAAAGUUAAUGGUCAAACACACUUGAUGUAUGAUACAUGUAUAAUGAUUAGAUUGAUAUUUUAUUUGAAAAGACAAAUAUUUAUUUUCAUGGUAAAAUGUCGUGAAUUUUGAGCGUUGAAAAAAGGUCGUCGCGCGCAAAAUCCCCCAUGGGGAUUUUCAAAAGUUGGCAUGUAUGUAUUAGGUCACCUGAGUAAACUCAAAUGACCGAUUGCAAUUUGUUGUCGUGGUGCAUUAACAAUUGAACAUUUUUAACUUCUUGAUAACUACCAUUCCAAUUCUUUUCAAAUUUGGUAUGAAGAAUAAUUGGGACAAGGGGGACAUAAAUUGUGAAUUUCAGGACUCCAGCACCCUGGGGCAGGGCAAAAACUGCCCAAAAUUGACCAGUUUUCAAAAUUCUCCUCAAGAACCGCACAUAUGUAAGAAAAA